UACGUAGGGGGCAAGCGUUGUCCGGAUUUAUUGGGUUUAAAGGGUGCGUAGGCGGUCUAUUAAGUCAGCGGUGAAAUACUCCAGCUUAACUGGAGGGGUGCCAUUGAUACUGAUGGACUUGAGUCAAGUUCGAGGUAGGCGGAAUUGACGGUGUAGCGGUGAAAUGCUUAGAUAUCGUCAAGAACACCAAUAGUGAAGACAGCUUACUGGGCUUAAACUGACGCUGAGGCACGAAAGUGUGGGGAUCAAACAGG
rnacentral:rRNA from 1 species